AGCGUCUGGAAAGGCGCGCGAUACAGGGUGACAGCCCCGUACACAAAAAUGCACAUAUUGUGAGCUCGAUGAGUAGGGCGGGACACGUGGUAUCCUGUCUGAAUAUGGGGGGACCAUCCUCCAAGGCUAAAUACUCCUGACUGACCGAUAGUGAACCAGUACCGUGAGGGAAAGGCGAAAAGAACCCCGGCGAGGGGAGUGAAAAAGAACCUGAAACCGUGUACGUACAAGCAGUGGGAGCCUCUUAAUGGGGUGACUGCGUACCUUUUGUAUAAUGGGUCAGCGACUUAUAUUCUGUAGCAAGGUUAACCGAAUAGGGGAGCCGAAGGGAAACCGAGUCUUAACUGGGCGUUAAGUUGCAGGGUAUAGACCCGAAACCCGGUGAUCUAGCCAUGGGCAGGUUGAAGGUUGGGUAACACUAACUGGAGGACCGAACCGACUAAUGUUGAAAAAUUAGCGGAUGACUUGUGGCUGGGGGUGAAAGGCCAAUCAAACCGGGAGAUAGCUGGUUCUCCCCGAAAGCUAUUUAGGUAGCGCCUCGUGAAUUCAUCUCCGGGGGUAGAGCACUGUUUCGGCAAGGGGGUCAUCCCGACUUACCAACCCGAUGCAAACUGCGAAUACCGGAGAAUGUUAUCACGGGAGACACACGGCGGGUGCUAACGUCCGUCGUGAAGAGGGAAACAACCCAGACCGCCAGCUAAGGUCCCAAAGUCAUGGUUAAGUGGGAAACGAUGUGGGAAGGCCCAGACAGCCAGGAUGUUGGCUUAGAAGCAGCCAUCAUUUAAAGAAAGCGUAAUAGCUCACUGGUCGAGUCGGCCUGCGCGGAAGAUGUAACGGGGCUAAACCAUG
rnacentral:rRNA from 1 species